UAGGGAAUCUUCCACAAUGGACGCAAGUCUGAUGGAGCAACGCCGCGUGAGUGAAGAAGGUUUUCGGAUCGUAAAGCUCUGUUGUUGGUGAAGAAGGAUAGAGGCAGUAACCGGUCUUUAUUUGACGGUAAUCAACCAGAAAGUCACGGCUAACUACGUGCCAGCAGCCGCGGUAAUACGUAGGUGGCAAGCGUUGUCCGGAUUUAUUGGGCGUAAAGCGAGCGCAGGCGGAAUGAUAAGUCUGAUGUGAAAGCCCACGGCUCAACCGUGGAACUGCAUCGGAACANUGCAUUCUUGAGUGCAGAAGAGGAGAGUGGAACUCCAUGUGUAGCGGUGGAACGCGUAGAUAUAUGGAAGAACACCAGUGGCGAAGGCGGCUCUCUGGUCUGCAACUGACGCUGAGGCUCGAAAAGCAUGGGUAGCGAACAGGAUUAGAUACCCUGGUAGUCCAUGCCGUAAACGAUGAGCGCUAGGUGUUGGGGACUUUCCGGUCCUCAGUGCCGCAGCAAAUCGCAUUAAGCGCUCCGCCUGGGGAGUACGACCGCAAGGUUGAAACGUCUAAAGUGAAUUGAC
rnacentral:rRNA from 1 species